rnacentral:tRNA from 1 species
GAUAGCUCAGUUGGUAGAGCAAAUGACUGUUAAUCAUUGGGUCGCAGGUUCGA